CACGUAGGGGGCGAGCGUUGUCCGGAUUUAUUGGGCGUAAAGAGCUCGUAGGCGGCUCGGUAAGUCGGGUGUGAAAUUUCAGGGCUCAACCCUGAAAAGCCACCUGAUACUGCCGUGGCUAGAGUCCGGUAGGGGAGUGGGGAAUUCCUGGUGUAGCGGUGAAAUGCGCAGAUAUCAGGAGGAACACCAGCGGCGAAGGCGCCACUCUGGGCCGGUACUGACGCUGAGGAGCGAAAGCGUGGGGAGCAAACAGG
rnacentral:rRNA from 1 species